rnacentral:rRNA from 1 species
UACGUAGGGUGCGAGCGUUAAUCGGAAUUACUGGGCGUAAAGCGUGCGCAGGCGGUUUUGUAAGCCAGAUGUGAAAGCCCCGGGCUCAACCUGGGAAUGGCAUUUGGGACUGCAAGGCUUGAGUGCGGCAGAGGAGACUGGAAUUCCUGGUGUAGCAGUGAAAUGCGUAGAUAUCAGGAGGAAUACCGAUGGCGAAGGCAGGUCUCUGGGCUGACAC